AGAGUUUGAUCAUGGCUCAGGAUGAACGCUAGCGGCAGGCUUAAUACAUGCAAGUCGAACGGUAAGUGUUGUAGCAAUAUAACACGAGAGUGACGUACGGGUGCGUAACACGUAUGCAACCUACCUUGUACAGGAGGAUAGCUCGGGGAAACUCGAAUUAACCCUCCAUAAUAUCAUUGGACGGCAUCAUUUGAUGAUUAAAACUCAGGUGGUACAAGAUGGGCAUGCGUCUGAUUAGUUAGUUGGCGGGGUAAUGGCCCACCAAGACGAUGAUCAGUAGGGGACCUGAGAGGGUGAUCCCCCACACUGGCACUGAGAUACGGGUCAGACUCCUACGGGAGGCAGCAGUAGGGAAUAUUGGUCAAUGGGUGCAAGCCUGAACCAGCCAUGCCGCGUGCAGGAAGAAGGCGUUAUGCGUUGUAAACUGCUUUUGCCAGGGGAUAAAAUAACUGUGCGCAGUUAAUUGAAGGUACCUGGUGAAUAAGCCACGGCUAACUACGUGCCAGCAGCCGCGGUAAUACGUAGGUGGCAAGCGUUGUCCGGAUUUAUUGGGUUUAAAGGGUGCGUAGGUGGCCCUGUAAGUCAGUGGUGAAAUAUCUCAGCUUAACUGAGAGGGUGCCAUUGAUACUGCAGGGCUUGAGUACAGAUGAGGUAGGCGGAAUUGACGGUGUAGCGGUGAAAUGCAUAGAUAUCGUCAAGAACACCGAUAGCGAAGGCAGCUUACCAAGCUGUAACUGACACUGAGGCACGAAAGUGUGGGGAUCAAACAGGAUUAGAUACCCUGGUAGUCCACACUGUAAACGUUGAUGACUCGAUGUUGGCGAUACACAGCCAGCGUCCAAGAGCAAUCGUUAAGUCAUCCACCUGGGGAGUACGCCGGCAACGGUGAAACUCAAAGGAAUUGACGG
rnacentral:rRNA from 1 species